GAGUUUGAUCCUGGCUCGGGAUGAACGCUGGCGGCGUGCUUAACACAUGCAAGUCGAACGGAAAGGCCCUUGCUUGCAAGGGUGCUCGAGUGGCGAACGGGUGAGUUACACGUAGGUGAUCUGCCUUUCACGUUCGGGAUAAGCUUGGGAAACUGGGUCUAAUACCGGAUAUUCACGGCACCGUGGUUGGUGUGGUGGAAAGCUUUUGCGGUGGGAGAUGAGCUUGCGGCCUAUCAGCUUGUC
rnacentral:rRNA from 1 species